GUGAAAUUGUUGAAAGGGAAACGAUUGAAGUCAGUCGUACUUACGAGUAAUCAACCUUUUAGGUGCAAUCUUGUGGGCAUUUAAGAAUUAAAUCUUUAUGUUCUCAAGUUUGUGCUUUAGGGCGUACUUGCUCGUUUGUAGGUUAACAUCAGUUUCGGUCAUUACAAAAUGACUGGAGGAAUGUAGCUUCAAUUUCGAUUGAAGUGUUAUAGCCUCUGGUAGAUGUAAUGGUCGGGAUUGAGGAUUGCAACGAAUACCCAGUCGGACUAUCCGUCUGGGCUAUCCUUCUGGUCUCUGACUGUCGCUUUGGUGCCGAAAGCUUGCUUACGGUUUAUCGAGGCUGGUAGUCAAUAGAUUAGAACGGAUUAAAUUCGUUAAGGAUGUUGACGUAAUGGCUUUAAACGAC
rnacentral:rRNA from 1 species